rnacentral:rRNA from 1 species
UACGGGGGGGGCAAGCGUUGUUCGGAAUUACUGGGCGUAAAGGGCUCGUAGGCGGCCAACUAAGUCAGACGUGAAAUCCCUCAGCUUAACUGGGGAACUGCGUCUGAUACUGGAUGGCUCGAGUGUGGGAGAGGAAUGCGGAAUUCCAGGUGUAGCGGUGAAAUGCGUAGAUAUCUGGAGGAACACCGGUGGCGAAGGCGGCAUUCUGGACCACAACUGACACUGAGAGACGAAAGCCAGGGGAGCAAACGGG